GACGAACGCUGGCGGCGUGCUUAACACAUGCAAGUCGAACGGAAAGGCGCUGCGUUUGCGGGUUGCUCGAGUGGCGAACGGGUGAGUAACACGUGAGUAACCUGCCCCUGACUGUGGGAGAACUCUAGGGAACUGGGGCUAAUAUCGGGUAGAAGCUCUUGCUGCAUGGUGGGGGAUGGAGAGUGUCGGCGGUGGUGGAUGGACUCGCGGCUUAUCAGCUUGUUGGUGGGGUAGUGGCUUACCAAGGCUUUGACGGGUAGCCGGCCUGAGAGGGUGACCGGCCUCCUUGGGACUGCGGUACGGCCCAGUCUCCUACGGGAGGCAGCAGUGGGGAAUAUUGCACAGUGGGCGGACGCCUGAUGCGACAGCGCCGCGUUCGUAAUGCCGGCCUUCGGGUUGUAAACCGAUUUCGACUGUGACGAACCGUGCGUGACGGUAAUGAGUCAAGAAGCCCCGGCUAACUACGUG
rnacentral:rRNA from 1 species